AAACUCACUCUCAACUCCACUGUCUCUCUUUUUCCCUCUCUGUCUCUCUUGGUGGCUCUUGGUCCAUAGGCCGGAGGACAGAAACAGGACAGGACACGCACCCUCGACACCACACCGCAGACAUGUCAGACUCUGAGACCGCCGCCCCCGCCGAGGCCCCCGUCCCUGCUGCUUGUGCCGCCAUCAAGGCUGACCUGGACAAAUGUGUGGCCGAGAAGGGAGCCGAGGGCUGCAAAGAUCUGAUCGAGGCCUUUGCUGCUUGCGUGAAGAGUGCAGCUGAGGGGACGUCAUGAGGAGUCGCCCUCCACCCUCCGAAUGUCCACUGCACUGAGUCCUCCAAAUUCCCAGCAUUCCCUUCUGCACAACAGCACUGGACUGAAUGAUGAGGAGGAUGAUGAAGAAGAUGAUGAUGAUCAUGGCGUGACAAACUUUGUUGAUUCUUGCUGUAUUUGGGAUAUGGUGGCAGUAACUACAGUCCUCUCCCCUCCGUUUAUAGGCUAAUCUGGUGUCCCCUCAGUCUUACCGCCAUUCCCCUUCUCCCUCUACGGCUGACAUGCAGAACAUCCACUUGUAGACAAUUCCAGAGAGCGGAGCUGUAAUGUAAAUGGUCGACAUGAAUACUUAUAAAUGGAAAUAAAAGUAUA